GAGCCAAUCGGAUUCCGGUGGAGGAAUGUUGUUGUUGUUAUCCAGAUUGGGAUACAACCUCCCGCUGGAAUACUCCCUCCCGAAUCCGCCGCACCAUGUCCGGCGAUCUGAAGAAUUGUUGUCCUUACUUCUUGUGCUACUAGUGUUGGGUUUUAUCCCAAACAAGCUCUUGAUCCACCUACUAGCUUUACCCAUUACUAUUAUUCUCCAGAGAAUGAAAGAGAGAAGUAGUGGGGAAACAGAAGGGGGUUAUGGGAAUGG
rnacentral:lncRNA from 1 species